rnacentral:tRNA from 1 species
UCCCUUAUAGCUCAGUCGGUAAAGAAUCUGCCUGCAGCGCAGGAGACCUGGGUUCGAUCCCUGGGUUGGGAA